GACGGAGGUGGCAAGCGUUGUUCGGUGUCACUGGGCUUAGAGCGUGUGUAGGCGGCGAAGUAAGCGCUUGGUGAAAGCCCCCGGCCUAACCGGGGAAUUGCUUGGCGAACUGCUUUGCUUGAGGCAAGUAGGGGUGCGAGGAACUCUUGGUGGAGCGGUGGAAUGCGUAGAUAUCAAGAGGAACGCCGGUGGUGAAGACGUCGCACUAGGCUUGUCCUGACGCUGAGACACGAAAGCGUGGGGAGCAAACGGG
rnacentral:rRNA from 1 species